rnacentral:rRNA from 1 species
UACGUAGGCAGCAAGCGUUGUUCGGAGUUACUGGGCGUAAAGGGUGUGUAGGCGGUUGGAUAAGUGUGGUGUGAAAUCUCCCGGCUCAACUGGGAGGGUGCGCUACAAACUGUCUGACUCGAGUGUGGGAUGGGUAAGUGGAAUUCCUGGUGUAGCGGUGAAAUGCGUAGAUAUCGGGAGGAACACCAGUGGCGAAGGCGAUCACCUGGGGUUGUUCUGACGCUGAGGAGCGAAAGCUAGGGGAGCAAACGGG